UACGGAGGAUGCAAGCGUUAUCCGGAAUGAUUGGGCGUAAAGCGUCCGCAGGCGGCUGUGUAAGUCUGCUGUUAAAUAGUGAGGCUCAACCUCAUAAAGGCAGUGGAAACUACACGGCUAGAGUGCGUUCGGGGCAGAGGGAAUUCCUGGUGUAGCGGUGAAAUGCGUAGAGAUCAGGAAGAACACCGGUGGCGAAAGCGCUCUGCUAGGCCGCAACUGACACUGAGGGACGAAAGCUAGGGGAGCGAAUGGG
rnacentral:rRNA from 1 species